rnacentral:rRNA from 1 species
GUUUCUAUCCUCAAUUUUUUUGUAAUUUUUAGUACGAAAGGACCAUUAUUGCAAGUUAUUCUUUAUUUUUUUGCAGAUUAUUAA